AGUGAACGCUGGCGGUAGGCCUAACACAUGCAAGUCGAACGGCAGCACAGUAAGAGCUUGCUCUUACGGGUGGCGAGUGGCGGACGGGUGAGGAAUACAUCGGAAUCUACUUUUUCGUGGGGGAUAACGUAGGGAAACUUACGCUAAUACCGCAUACGACCUACGGGUGAAAGCAGGGGAUCUUCGGACCUUGCGCGAUUGAAUGAGCCGAUGUCGGAUUAGCUAGUUGGCGGGGUAAAGGCCCACCAAGGCGACGAUCCGUAGCUGGUCUGAGAGGAUGAUCAGCCACACUGGAACUGAGACACGGUCCAGACUCCUACGGGAGGCAGCAGUGGGGAAUUUUGGACAAUGGGCGCAAGCCUGAUCCAGCCAUACCGCGUGGGUGAAGAAGGCCUUCGGGUUGUAAAGCCCUUUUGUUGGGAAAGAAAAGCAGCAGGUUAAUACCCCGCUGUUCUGACGGUACCCAAAGAAUAAGCACCGGCUAACUUCGU
rnacentral:rRNA from 1 species